rnacentral:rRNA from 1 species
GCAGUCGAGCGGUAGCACAGAGGAGCUUGCUCCUUGGGUGACGAGCGGCGGACGGGUGAGUAAUGUCUGGGAAACUGCCUGAUGGAGGGGGAUAACUACUGGAAACGGUAGCUAAUACCGCAUAACCUCGCAAGAGCAAAGAGGGGGACCUUAGGGCCUCUCGCCAUCAGAUGUGCCCAGAUGGGAUUAGCUAGUAGGUGAGGUAAUGGCUCACCUAGGCGACGAUCCCUAGCUGGUCUGAGAGGAUGACCAGCCACACUGGAACUGAGACACGGUCCAGACUCCUACGGGAGGCAGCAGUGGGGAAUAUUGCACAAUGGGCGCAAGCCUGAUGCAGCCAUGCCGCGUGUGUGAAGAAGGCCUUCGGGUUGUAAAGCACUUUCAGCGAGGAGGAAGGCGGUAAGGUUAAUAACCUUAUCGAUUGACGUUACUCGCAGAAGAAGCACCGGCUAACUCCGUGCCAGCAGCCGCGGUAAUACGGAGGGUGCAAGCGUUAAUCGGAAUGACUGGGCGUAAAGCGCACGCAGGCGGUCUGUUAAGUUGGAUGUGAAAUCCCCGGGCUUAACCUGGGAACUGCAUUCAAAACUGACAGGCUAGAGUCUUGUAGAGGGGGGUAGAAUUCCAGGUGUAGCGGUGAAAUGCGUAG